rnacentral:rRNA from 1 species
CCCAGACUCCUACGGGAGGCAGCAGUGGGGAAUAUUGCACAAUGGGGGAAACCCUGAUGCAGCGACGCCGCGUGGGUGAAGGAGCGUUUCGGCGCGUAAAGCCCUAUCGGCAGGGAAGAAGAUGACGGUACCUGACCAAGAAGCCCCGGCUAACUACGUGCCAGCAGCCGCGGGAAUACGUAGGGGGCAAGCGUUAUCCGGAUUUACUGGGUGUAAAGGGAGCGUAGACGGCUGUGCAAGUCUGAAGUGAAAGCCCGUGGCUCAACCGCGGAACUGCUUUGGAAACUGUAUAGCUUGAGUACUGGAGAGGCAGGCGGAAUUCCUAGUGUAGCGGUGAAAUGCGUAGAUAUUAGGAGGAACACCAGUGGCGAAGGCGGCCUGCUGGACAGAAACUGACGUUGAGGCUCGAAAGCGUGGGGAGCAAACAGGAUUAGAUACCCCCGUACG